rnacentral:rRNA from 1 species
UACGUAGGGCGCAAGCGUUAUCCGGAAUUAUUGGGCGUAAAGAGCUCGUAGGCGGUUUGUCGCGUCUGCUGUGAAAGACCGGGGCUCAACUCCGGUUCUGCAGUGGGUACGGGCAGACUAGAGUGCAGUAGGGGAGAUUGGAAUUCCUGGUGUAGCGGUGGAAUGCGCAGAUAUCAGGAGGAACACCGAUGGCGAAGGCAGAUCUCUGGGCCGUAACUGACGCUGAGGAGCGAAAGCGUGGGGAGCGAACAGG